GACGAACGCUGGCGGCGUGCCUAAUACAUGCAAGUCGAACGCAGUGGGGACGGGUGAGUAACACGUGGGUAACCUCCCAUCAGAGGGGAUAACACUUGGAAACAGGUGCUAAACCGAUACUGAUGGAUGGACCCGCGGUGCAUUAGCUAGUUGGUGAGGUAACGGCUCACCAAGGCCACGAUGCAUAGCCGGCCUGAGAGGGUGAUCGGCCACACUGGAACUGAGACACGGUCCAGACUCCUACGGGAGGCAGCAGUGGGGAAUAUUGGGCAAUGGACGAAAGCCUGACCCAGCCACGCCGCGUGAGUGAAGAAGGUUUUCGGAUCGUAAAGCACUGUUGUUGGAGAAGCGGUAUCCACCGAGAAAGCCACGGCUAACUCCGUGCCAGCAGCCGCGGUAAUAC
rnacentral:rRNA from 1 species